AUUGAACGCUGGCGGCAGGCCUAACACAUGCAAGUCGAACGAGUGGCGGACGGGUGAGUAAUGUCUGGGAAACUGCCUGAUGGAGGGGGAUAACUACUGGAAACGGUAGCUAAUACCGCAUACCAUCAGAUGUGCCCAGAUGGGAUUAGCUAGUCGGUGGGGUAACAGCUCACCAAGGCGACGAUCCCUAGCUGGUCUGAGAGGAUGACCGGCCACACUGGAGCUGAGACCCGGUCCAGACUCCUCCGUGAAGCAGCCGUGGGGAAUAUUGCACAAUGGGCACAAGCCUGAUGCAGCCAUGCCGCGUGUAUGAAGAAGGCCUUCGGGUUGUAAAGUACUUUCAGCUGGGAGGCGUUACCCGCAGAAGAAGCACCGGCUAACUCCGUGCCAGCAGCCGCGGUAAUAC
rnacentral:rRNA from 1 species